GGAAGGAAAGGAGAUGCUUUUGGAAGGCACCCUUCAUAUCAUGUAAGACAUAGAAAAGACUAAAAGAACAUAAAAUUCUGUGAUUUUCCUUCACACUAGAAUCUUGGUAACAAAACAGUAAAUGUGGAAAAACUAACAUAAUAAGGACUGCAAAUAAUACGUGGUUGAUGAUCUGCAAGAUUUAAAUCCUCUUUUCAUCUAAGUACUGCGAACCAGCAUGUUUACCAGCAAUACUGGGG
rnacentral:lncRNA from 1 species